AUUGAACGCUGGCGGCAUGCUUUACACAUGCAAGUCGAACGGUAACAGGCCGCAAGGUGCUGACGAGUGGCAAACGGGUGAGUAAUGCAUCGGAACGUGCCCAGUCGUGGGGGAUAACUACUCGAAAGAGUAGCUAAUACCGCAUACGAUCUAUGGAUGACAUCGGGGGACCGUAAGGCCUCGCGCGAUUGGAGCGGCCGAUGUCAGAUUAGGUAGUUGGUGGGGUAAAGGCUCACCAAGCCAACGAUCUGUAGCUGGUCUGAGAGGACGACCAGCCACACUGGGACUGAGACACGGCCCAGACUCCUACGGGAGGCAGCAGUGGGGAAUUUUGGACAAUGGGCGCAAGCCUGAUCCAGCAAUGCCGCGUGCAGGAAGAGGGCCUUCGGGUUGUAAACUGCUUUUGUACGGAACGAAACGGCUCUGGUUAAUACCCGGGGCUAAUGACGGUACCGUAAGAAUAAGCACCGGCUAACUACGUG
rnacentral:rRNA from 1 species